UAACGAAGUGUAUGAAAAACACUCUCCACAGAGAAAGCUCUCUCUCAUUCACGAAGCCUCUCAGAAACGACAUCCACAGAAGAAAGCGUUUUCUCAUUCACGAUCUCCACAGAAAAAAGGUCUCUGUCAGUGACGAAGCCUCUCCUCUUAGUAACGAUCUCUCUCAAAACGCAUCAAUCCCUCUGAAAAAAGUUUUUUUAAUAUAAGGUAUAUCUGUAUCCACCGUUUGAAGUCGUUGAUGGAAGUGUGGCUUUUUGGGCAACCGUCGAAUGGAGAGGUUUCGAACGGAGAGCUGUUUUCGAUUUCUUUAUUGUGCCUUUAUUUGUUUUCUUCAUUGCCAUUAUUGUGCGAUUUUUUGCGUUUAGGUUUUGGGGCCGGUGGUUCAGAAGUCCGAAAGGUUAGGUUUUUUUGGCUGUUGCCGUUGGGGAUUUCGUUAUUUGGUGCGGUG
rnacentral:lncRNA from 1 species